CGGAAUAAAACAACAUGAAAAUAACAUAUGAGAAUAACAUGUGAAAAUAAUCAUCUAAUACAUAUGAUACUUGUUCUUGACACUAUGUACUCCAAGGAGUUUAUAUGGUUUCAUGGAACAAGUACUUGGACAUAUGAACACUAAUUCAUCAUCUAAGAUUCGAUUAUUUGGAUUAUGUGUUUAUAUAUUACAUAUAUUAUAUACAUAUUAUUAAGUCCAAUAUUUCAAGCAUGAGGUAGAAGAUUAGGAUCUUCAUUUAGGUACCUCUAAGUAUCAUGGAAAUCAUGUAGGAGGUAGGAAGAACAAGCUCCCAUUUAGGUACCUCUAAGUGUUCACCACUACACUUGUUGUAAAAACAUACAAGGAGGGUCAUGAACUAAUAUCAAUACAAGAAUAAGAAACAUCUACACUAUGAGAAAUCAUCAAGGGAUGUGGGGAUUUUAGAUCGGACAACCCAAGUUAGUCCACAAUCACACCUUUAUCAAGCUUGAAGCUUGAACACCACUUGUGGGUCAAAAACCCUAAACAAAAUAGAAAGUAUUUGAGGAUUAACCUAUGAUAUUGUAUGUCUCAGCCCCGUUUUUAAGCUUAACUAACCAUAGAAGUGGUUAUAAGCAUAAGGCGUGGGUUUGAGUGAGUUAAA
rnacentral:lncRNA from 1 species